CAGAUGGCAGGGGAGCCACCAGGGAUCCAAUCCUUGUCAUGGCAAUGCAGCCCCUUUGCCCAGAAGCACACAUGCCAAGCAAAACGCGUUGGCGUGCUGCACUCUGGCACCUGUGCGGGGGUUGCCUAUCCAUGCCCCAGCCAGCGUUCUCCCACACAGCUAGAAAAGCAUGACAGAAACAACCGCAAGCACGGCAGAAACGUGCCCAAAAAACCCUGCGUUAAUACAGGGAGAAGAUGUGCCCAUUUCAUGAUAUCCUAGCAGUUAUCAUAGCAGCUAUAGAAAAUAAAAGAAAAAAACCCCUAUAUCUGUAACAUGGUGGGGUGGGAAGGAAAAGGAAUGGGAGGGGAGGAUUCACGCGGUUUGCCCUUGGGAUUGGGAUUGGGAUGGGGUCUUUGGGAUCACAUACUGAUCAAGAAAGACCAGACAGACCGUGCAAGUGACAAGGAUUUUGGAGUGACUAUGACCGUGCCCAGUGAGAGUCAGGACUGCCCAGUGAGGGGACGGGGACUAGGGAGGCCGGGUGAUUUACAUGCACCUCCUGCUGUAAUACAUUAGGAAAGACAUUACGGGGGUAAAUUAAUAUUUGACUCCCCUUACUGAAAUCUGCGGGGCAUGACACAAGGCUUAACUCACUCAAAAGCGCCCAGUCGUGCAAACGCAAAUGCACCACACCGAAAAAAAAGCCGCAUUCAAAUUUUCUACAUUAACACCCGCAUCAUCUACACGCCCCUGCUUCAUACAGGUGGAACCUGCAGGAUGAAGCACAUCUGGAAACUAUUUCCGGGCACACAACUACAGGGGUUCGUGUCUACACGUUUCAGAUUUUGCCAAUAAAAGUCAUCACCCUAAGAAAUGCUUGCCAACUUUCAUAAAGAUAUUUUCCUUCCCAAUCCCUUGAAGAGACAUUGCAUUCCUUCUUUAAUUACAGAGAAGCCAUCUUUCCUACAGAAAUGAUGUAACCCCUACAGUUUCCUAUGGGCUUGAUUAUCUGUGGCAAGGGAUGUUUAAAAGAACCCAAAAGUUGGGGACACAAGAGAAUUGGGAUAUUAUACAGGAAGAAUUGCAUUGAGGACAAGAGUAAUAAAAACGUGAUUAAAUUAAAUAGAACAAAUGUAAGAUUUUUUACUCAGGCACUAAUAACAAGAAUUUCUGCCAAAAACUGGGAGCUCAUCAGUUAGAAAUGACAGAAGAGGAAAAAGACCUUGAUGUACUAGUUGAUUACAUGAUGCUGAGUAUGAGCUAUCGAUGUGAUACAGCAAUAAAAA